CCAAGCGGUGCUGAAAAAAGGAGGAAACGGGAGGAAAGCGAAAGGUUUUUAGCAAAACUACAAAAGUAACAUAAGAUAGAAGACCAUAAACAACUUUUCCAAUUUAGGCAGCAGCAAGCAGAUCCAGUUAGCAGAUUCUAUCAGAGAACCUGCUGGGAAACCAAGAUAGAACUCCAGAUGACUAGACAUCAUUGCUUUGUGAAGACUGCUGAAGAGAAAUUACAAGUAAAGCCGGGC